AUGGCUUGAAUCUACAGCCCUUUUCCAAUUAAAUCCUACCUAGGAAGUGUGUUUAAUUCUAAAUUAUGCAUUAGACAUAGUGUAUACAAUUAAUAUUUUUAAAUGUAAUGUGUAGCAAGUAUGAAACUAUAACUUUUAUCCCAAAAAAAAAAAAGAAAAAUUGGGCCCCAAGUUGCUAUGCAAGGAGGUUAGAAGCAGAGAGUAAGAGCAUCAAGAGAGGGAAAGUAAUUGGUGUUUGAGAGCAUUGAGAGUCUGGGAGCUGUUUCUGGUUUUCUUUCUGUCAUUCAACUCUAGCCAUGGAUAAAGAAAAGAUUAUUUUUCUGGGUUAAGGAAACCAAGUGAUUUGACUGAAAGGCAGCUCUAGCUGUUUUAUUAGGAUACCAAGAAAUCAUCAAUGUCCUAAUGUUGGGGUUUCCUCAGUUAGCCAUACAAACAGAGAUUGAUCCAAGCUGCAGGCUGCUUCCUAUGAGUAUACAAGCCAAUAUAUGCUUCCCAGGAUGAGCUGUAUGUUCAAACUUUCUGAUUCAUAGAUCCUGGAAGUGAAGCUACAGGCUUACUGCAAUGUCAUAUUGUGAAGGAGAUUAGUGCUUUGGAAGUGAAGAUCUUGCCCUUUGUAAAGUCUGAUGGAAUUGCAAAACUCCAAAUCUUGAAGUAUCAGAACUUUCCCUUGUGUUUUCAAGACUCUGAAAGUUUGCUGAAUGUAUUGUUUAGUUUAAGCUUUUGAGUGUAUAUAUAAGAAUUAUAGUUUAAGUCCAGUUUCCUGCUUCUGAAAAUUUGUUAU